ACGACCUUACUUGAACAGGAUCUGUUCUAUAGGCUCGUACCUCUGUAUCCUUGAUUUCUAAGGAGACAGGCCCCUAAACCUGGUUGAUGAAUCAUGGCCGUGCGAUCUGAGUGUGAUUAACGGCUACGAUUCUCUCCUAUGAGUCUCUGCGCUGUAGAGGAUCGCUAUCCGGUUUGGCCUUGCCCUCUCCGGGGUGGUUGCACGGUUGUCUGACAGGCC
rfam:Brassica rapa chromosome A9, whole genome shotgun sequence.